AUUGAACGCUGGCGGCAGGCCUAACACAUGCAAGUCGAAUGGUAACAGGAAACAGCUUGCUGUUUCGCUGACGAGUGGCGGACGGGUGAGUAAUGUCUGGGAAACUGCCUGAUGGAGGGGGAUAACUACUGGAAACGGUAGCUAAUACCGCAUAACGUCGCAAGACCAAAGAGGGGGACCUUCGGGCCUCUUGCCAUCAGAUGUGCCCAGAUGGGAUUAGCUAGUAGGUGGGGUAACGGCUCACCUAGGCGACGAUCCCUAGCUGGUCUGAGAGGCUGACCAGCCACACUGGAACUGAGACACGGUCCAGACUCCUACGGGAGGCAGCAGUGGGGAAUAUUGCACAAUGGGCGCAAGCCUGAUGCAGCCAUGCCGCGUGUAUGAAGAAGGCCUUCGGGUUGUAAAGUACUUUCAGCGGGGAGGAAGGGAGUAAAGUUAAUACCUUUGCUCAUUGACGUUACCCGCAGAAGAAGCACCGGCUAACUCCGUG
rnacentral:rRNA from 1 species